rnacentral:rRNA from 1 species
UCGGCCUGGUUAUUCAUAACCCUUUGUUGUCCGACUCUGUUGCCUCCGGGGCGACCCUGCCUUCGGGCGGGGGCUCCGGGUGGACACUUCAAACUCUUGCGUAACUUUGCAGUCUGAGUAAACUUAAUUAAUAAAUUAAAACUUUUAACAACGGAUCUCUUGGUUCUGGCAUCGAUGAAGAACGCAGCGAAAUGCGAUAAGUAAUGUGAAUUGCAGAAUUCAGUGAAUCAUCGAAUCUUUGAACGCACAUUGCGCCCCCUGGUAUUCCGGGGGGCAUGCCUGUUCGAGCGUCAUUUCACCACUCAAGCCUCGCUUGGUAUUGGGCAACGCGGUCCGCCGCGUGCCUCAAAUCGUCCGGCUGGGUCUUCUGUCCCCUAAGCGUUGUGGAAACUAUUCGCUAAAGGGUGUUCGGGAGGCUACGCCGUAAAACAACCCCAUUUCUAAGGUUGACCUCGGAUCAGGUAGGGAUACCCGCUGAACUUAAGCAUAUCAUA